CCUACCAUGGUGGUAACGGGUAACGGGGUGUUAGGGCACGACACCGGAGAGGGAGCCUGAGAAACGGCUACCACAUCCAAGGAUGGCAGCAGGCGCGCAAAUUACCCAAUCCCGACACGGGGAGGUAGUGACAAUAAAUAACAAUACGGGGUUCUUUCGGAUCUCGUAAUUGGAAUGAGUACAAUUUAAAUCUCUUAACGAGGAACAAUUGGAGGGCAAGUCUGGUGCCAGCAGCCGCGGUAAUUCCAGCUCCAAUAGCGUAUAUUAAAGUUGUUGCAGUUAAAAAGCUCGUAGUUGAAUUUCGGGAUCAAUUUACUGGUCGUGCUAUCGUACGUACUGGUUUUAUUGAUUCCUACCUUCUGACGAACCAUGAUGUCAUUAAUUUGGUGUUAUGGGGAAUCAGGACUGUUACUUUGAAAAAAUUAGAGUGUUUAAAGCAGGCUCACGCUUGAAUACAUUAGCAUGGAAUAACGAAAUAGGACGUUUGAUUCUAUUUUGUUGGUUUCUAGGAUCGACGUAAUGAUUAAUAGGGAUAGUUGGGGGCAUUAGUAUUCAAUUGUCAGAGGUGAAAUUCUUGGAUUUAUUGAAGACUAACUACUGCGAAAGCAUUUGCCAAGGAUGUUUUCAUUAAUCAAGAACGAAAGUUAGGGGAUCGAAGACGAUCAGAUACCGUCGUAGUCUUAACCAUAAACUAUGCCGACUAGGGAUCGGAUGAUGUUAAUUUUUUAAUGACUCAUUC
rnacentral:rRNA from 1 species